UAGGGAAUCUUCGGCAAUGGACGAAAGUCUGACCGAGCAACGCCGCGUGAGUGAAGAAGGUUUUCGGAUCGUAAAACUCUGUUGUUAGAGAAGAACAAGGACGUUAGUAACUGAACGUCCCCCGACGGUAUCUAACCAGAAAGCCACGGCUAACUACGUGCCAGCAGCCGCGGUAAUACGGAGGUGGCAAGCGUUGUCCGGAUUUAUUGGGCGUAAAGCGAGCGCAGGCGGUUUCUUAAGUCUGAUGUGAAAGCCCCCGGCUCAACCGGGGAGGGUCAUUGGAGACUGAGAGACUUGAGUGCAGAAGAGGAGAGUGGAAUUCCAUGUGUAGCGGUGAAAUGCGUAGAUAUAUGGAGGAACACCAGUGGCGAAGGAGGCUCUCUGGUCUGUAACUGACGCUGAGGCUCGAAAGCGUGGGGAGCAAACAGG
rnacentral:rRNA from 1 species